GGAAGUGUGGCCGAGCGGUUGAAGGCACCGGUCUUGAAAACCGGCGACCCGAAAGGGUUCCAGAGUUCGAAUCUCUGCGCUUCCGUCA
rnacentral:tRNA from 1 species